rnacentral:lncRNA from 1 species
GACAUUUUCAGUAUUUACAGCUUAACUUUUGACGUUCUUCUUCUUGAACUUACAAAGACAAAUUGAAGAUUAGGCAGCGGAAACACCUGAAUAAGGAUAACAAGAUCGAAGCAGGCAGCAGGGAGCGAGAAAUCAACGGGAAGAAAUGGCGUCCUGCUUUUCAGUGAAAAUCCCUACAGAUCUAAAAUUGCCUUACAUUUAUAUCUCGAAUUAUGAGAUUUAAAUGCGGAAAAGAGUAAAUUGUGAAACGGACCUGAUUUCUAUGACGGAGGAAGCAACCGGAGCCGGCGUAGGUGCAACCGGUGGGAGCGGGGAGAGCACAGGCGGAAGCGGAGAAGCUGGACGAGGUUCGGCCGGCGGAGGGGUUGCGGGUUGCAGUCGGCGGCGGAGAAGCUGGAGCAGGUUCGGCCGGCGGAGGGGUUGGCAGGCGGCGGCGGAGAAGCUGCAGGAGGAACGGCCGGCCGAGGGGAUGCAGGCGGCGUGCUCACCGGCAGACGAGCGGUGACGGGCGGCGUUGCUGUAGGAGGCGAUUUGGGGAUUUUGGAGGAAUUUGCGAAUUAGGGCUGAGAUGAGAACUAAAGCAAAAGAGGCUACGCGACUGGUUAUCUAUCUAUACAUAUAUUAAAGCAUAGAAUCUUGGGGGAAUG